UGCAUAUUUGACGUUACCUACACGAAGAAGCACCGGCUAACUCCGUGCCAGCAGCCGCGGUAAUACGGAGGGUGCGAGCGUUAAUCGGAAUUACUGGGCGUAAAGCGCAUGCAGGCGGCCUGUUAAGUCAGAUGUGAAAGACCCGGGGCGUUAACCUCGGAAUUGCAUUUGAAACUAGGCAGGCUAGAGUCUUGUAGAGGGGGGUAGGAAUUUCAGGUGUAGCGGUGAAAUGCGUAGAGAUCUGAAGGAAUACCAGUGGCGAAGGCGGCCCCCUGGACAAAGACUGACGCUCAGAUGCGAAAGCGUGGGGAGCAAACAGGAUUAGAUACCCCCUGGUAG
rnacentral:rRNA from 1 species